AAGUGCUGGGAUUACAGGUGUGAGCCACCGCACCCGGCCCUGGAAAGUUUUUUAAACAGUCGAAUGUGCACACGUGGACAGAUGCUAACACACACUUAGAGAAGGACCUGGAAGAGCAAAACGGCCACGACCUGGGACCAGCAGGUGAGGGUGGGGAGGACCUGGGGCCCUGCUCCUCCAGCCGCUGAACAGCUAGGUGUGUGGCCAGAGGAUCGCUUGAGCCCGGGGAGGUCAAGGCUGCAGUGAGCUGAGGUUGCACCACUGCACUCCUGCCUGGACCACAGGGCAAGACCCGGUGACUGGCUUUCGGAGCGGGAGGAUCCCCUU
rnacentral:lncRNA from 1 species